CAUUAAAUAAUUUAUCACACUCAUAUAAUCUGAAGAAUAUGGCUUUAGAAGUUUCUACCACGUUGCCUUAAACAAUGUGACUAUGAGUAAAUGAAAAUCAAUG
rfam:Staphylococcus hyicus strain ATCC 11249, complete genome.